AUUGAACGCUGGCGGCAGGCCUAACACAUGCAAGUCGAGCGGAUGAGGGGAGCUUGCUCCUGGAUUCAGCGGCGGACGGGUGAGUAAUGCCUAGGAAUCUGCCUGGUAGUGGGGGAUAACGUCCGGAAACGGGCGCUAAUACCGCAUACGUCCUGAGGGAGAAAGUGGGGGAUCUUCGGACCUCACGCUAUCAGAUGAGCCUAGGUCGGAUUAGCUAGUUGGUGGGGUAAAGGCCUACCAAGGCGACGAUCCGUAACUGGUCUGAGAGGAUGAUCAGUCACACUGGAACUGAGCCACGGUCCAGACUCCUACGGGAGGCAGCAGUGGGGAAUAUUAGACAAUGGGCGAAAGCCUGAUCCAGCCAUGCCGCGUGUGUGAAGAAGGUCUUCGGAUUGUAAAGCACUUUAAGUUGGGAGGAAGGGCAGUAAGUUAAUACCUUGCUGUUUUGACGUUACCAACAGAAUAAGCACCGGCUAACUUCGUG
rnacentral:rRNA from 1 species